AACGAACGCUGGCGGCAGGCUUAACACAUGCAAGUCGAGCGCCCCGCAAGGGGAGCGGCAGACGGGUGAGUAACGUGUGGGAAUCUACCCAUCUCUACGGAAUAACGCAUGGAAACGUGUGCUAAUACCGUAUACGUCCUUCGGGAGAAAGAUUUAUCGGAGAUGGAUGAGCCCGCGUUGGAUUAGCUAGUUGGUGGGGUAAAGGCCUACCAAGGCGACGAUCCAUAGCUGGUCUGAGAGGAUGAUCAGCCACACUGGGACUGAGACACGGCCCAGACUCCUACGGGAGGCAGCAGUGGGGAAUAUUGGACAAUGGGCGCAAGCCUGAUCCAGCCAUGCCGCGUGAGUGAAGAAGGCCCUAGGGUUGUAAAGCUCUUUCACCGGUGAAGAUAAUGACGGUAACCGGAGAAGAAGCCCCGGCUAACUUCGUGCCAGCCGCCGCCGUAAUAC
rnacentral:rRNA from 1 species